AUUGAACGCUGGCGGCAGGCCUAACACAUGCAAGUCGAGCGAGCGGCGGACGGGUGAGUAAUGUAUGGGGACUGCCCGAUAGAGGGGGAUAACUAAUGGAAACGGUAGCUAAUACCGCAUACUAUCGGAUAACCCAUAUGGGAUUGGCUAGUAGGGGAGGUAAUGGCUCACAUAGGCGACGAUCCCUAGCUGGUCUGAGAGGAUGAUCAGCCACACUGGGACUGAGACACGGCCCAGACUCCUACGGAGGCAGCAGUGGGGAAUAGUGCACAAUGGGCACAAUCCUUAUGCAGCCAUGCCUCGUGUAUGAAGAAGGCCCUAGGGUUGGAAAGUACUUUCAGUCGGGAGGCGUUACCGACAGAAGAAGCACCGGCUAACUCCGUGCCAGCAGCCGCGGUAAUAC
rnacentral:rRNA from 1 species